AGCAAUCUAUACGGUGAAACUGCGAAUGGCUCAUUAAAUCAGUUAUCGUUUAUUUGAUAGUACCUUACUACUUGGAUAACCGUGGUAAUUCUAGAGCUAAUACAUGCUAAAAACCUCGACUUCGGAAGGGGUGUAUUUAUUAGAUAAAAAACCAAUGCCCUUCGGGGCUCCUUGGUGAUUCAUAAUAACUUAACGAAUCGCAUGGCCUUGUGCCGGCGAUGGUUCAUUCAAAUUUCUGCCCUAUCAACUUUCGAUGGUAGGAUAGUGGCCUACCAUGGUUUCAACGGGUAACGGGGAAUUAGGGUUCUAUUCCGGAGAGGGAGCCUGAGAAACGGCUGCCACAUCCAAGGAAGGCAGCAGGCGCGCAAAUUACCCAAUCCCGACACGGGGAGGUAGUGACAAUAAAUACUGAUACAGGGCUCUUUUGGGUCUUGUAAUUGGAAUGAGUACAAUUUAAAUCCCUUAACGAGGAACAAUUGGAGGGCAAGUCUGGUGCCAGCAGCCGCGGUAAUUCCAGCUCCAAUAGCGUAUAUUAAAGUUGUUGCAGUUAAAAAGCUCGUAGUUGAACCUUGAACCUGGCUGGCCGGUCCGCCUCACCGCGUGCACUGGUCCGGCCGGGUUUUUCCUUCUGGGGAGCCGCAUGCCCUUCACUGGGUGUGUCGGGGAACCAGGACUUUUACUUUGAAAAAAUUAGAGUGUUCAAAGCAGGCCUAUGCUCGAAUACAUUAGCAUGGAAUAAUAGAAUAGGACGUGUGGUUCUAUUUUGUUGGUUUCUAGGACCGCCGUAAUGAUUAAUAGGGAUAGUCGGGGGCAUCAGUAUUCAAUUGUCAGAGGUGAAAUUCUUGGAUUUAUUGAAGACUAACUACUGCGAAAGCAUUUGCCAAGGAUGUUUUCAUUAAUCAGUGAACGAAAGUUAGGGGAUCGAAGACGAUCAGAUACCGUCGUAGUCUUAACCAUAAACUAUGCCGACUAGGGAUCGGGCGAUGUUAUUUUUUUGACUCGCUCGGCACCUUACGAGAAAUCAAAGUCUUUGGGUUCUGGGGGGA
rnacentral:rRNA from 1 species